rnacentral:rRNA from 1 species
UACGGGGGGGGCAAGCGUUGUUCGGAAUUACUGGGCGUAAAGGGCUUGUAGGUGGCCAACUAAGUCAGACGUGAAAUCCCUCGGCUCAACCGAGGAACUGCAUCUGAUACUGGAUGGCUUGAGAUUGGGAGAGGGAUGCGGAAUUCCAGGUGUAGCGGUGAAAUGCGCAGAUAUCAGGAGGAACACCGGUGGCGAAGGCGGGUCUCUGGGCCGAUAUUGACGCUGAGGAGCGAAAGCGUGGGGAGCGAACAGG